rnacentral:rRNA from 1 species
GAUGAACGCUGGCGGCGUGCUUAACACAUGCAAGUCGAACGGAAAGGCCCAAGCUUGCUUGGGUACUCGAGUGGCGAACGGGUGAGUAACACGUGGGUGAUCUGCCCUGCACUUCGGGAUAAGCCUGGGAAACUGGGUCUAAUACCGGAUAGGACGAUGGUUUGGAUGCCAUUGUGGAAAGUUUUUUCGGUGUGGGAUGAGCUCGCGGCCUAUCAGCUUGUUGGUGGGGUAAUGGCCUACCAAGGCGUCGACGGGUAGCCGGCCUGAGAGGGUGUACGGCCACAUUGGGACUGAGAUACGGCCAGACUCCUACGGGAGGCAGCAGUGGGGAAUAUUGCACAAUGGGCGCAAGCCUGAUGCAGCGACGCCGCGUGGGGGAUGACGGCCUUCGGGUUGUAAACUCCUUUCGCUAGGGACGAAGCGUUUUUGUGACGGUACCUGGAGAAGAAGCACCGGCUAACUACGUG